CUGCACAGAGGCUUCAGAGAUCAGAAAUUGGAGACUCCCGAAGAGUGAGGCAAUCCAGGGGAGGCGAGAGGCCCUCCGGCUCUCAGGGGGGCUCCUACUAUCUCUCUGGAUUCCGUUUCAAAGGCAUGAAGGCCUUGGUUUGGGACGUGUGCGCCUGGUCUGUCUGGUUCACUUUUUCUCCUUUGCCUUUCAUUUCAAUUGAGCUGCUGCUGGUUAUUCUUGUUGCGCGCCUCCCACUGCUCAGUGUUGGCAUCAAAUGGUAGACUUUACUAGCUGGUGUCAGGUGUGACAGACACAUCCCUGGAAAAUUCAGCUAGGAGCUGGGUUCCGUUCUCAGCAAAUGGGUUGAAAGACCUCCGGCCAACCCAGUGGAUAUCCAGGCUAGCGGAGGAGCGCUGAAGGAGAUGGAAAAAGUCUUCACUCUCAAGGAAUCUGCAUCCAGGGGGAAGACAGAGGUCCUGGCUGCCAGAUUCCUCCUUCCUGUUGUUCUGCCUUGGAAAACCAAACCAAACCAAACAAAAAACUAGGCAUUACCACCACAGACCACAAAGGCGUUUACUUUAAGAAAUGUGUUUUCAUUCUUUUUCAAGAUCCAAAUAGGUGCAAGUAGGCUUAGAUAGAUUCCACAAGGUCCAGACUUCAAAAGGUUUAAAGGGUGUGGGAAGAAAUGCCUCCCUCCUAUUUCUUGUAAUGAUUUUAUUUAUUUAUUUGAGAGAGAGAGAGAGAGAGAGAGAGAGAGAGAGAGAGAGAGAGAGAAUGAGCAGGAGGGAGGAGCAGAAGGAGAAGGGGACUCCUCGCUGAGCAGGGAACCCCAUGAGGGACUUGACCCCUCUGUUGACAAAAGGGAAGAAAAAAAUCCAGAGAAGAAAUGUGAUUGGUGUGGAGGAUACUCCUUAGGCCAAUGACCAGUGGACUCCUCCCUGAGCAGGGAACCCCAUGAAGGACUUGAUCCCUUGGGCUCAUGACCCAAGGCAAGUGCUUAAUUAACUGAGCUACUUGGUUGCCCACCUCCCUCCUAUUUUUGAGGCUCUCUGUUCCUCAGUUUGGAGGCGGCAAAUGGCACCAGUCUCUUGUAGUGUGUAUCCUUCUUGAGAUAUUUUAAGCAGGAGGAAAUAUUGACACACACACAUAUUUUUUUCUUCCUUUCAACACAAAUGAUUAUCUCCUAUAUAUACACCAUUUUGCAAAUUGCCUUUUUCCCCCUCGUUAAUGCCUUUUGGUAAGUGUUUCACAUCACUACACACAGAACUCCCCCCUUCUCUUCUUUGUGGUGUAGUGUCCCAUCACAUAGAGGUACCACUCUGUAUGGAAGUGUUUUAGUGGCACCUAGAGCUGUUGCUCUACCCUCUUUGCUACCAGCGACACCCUGGUGGCAUCGCUGGGCUCAGGGGACAGGGUCGAUAACAGUGCCUAGGUAGAGGUUCAUCCUACUGAUGGCUUGAAAGAUGGCCCCUCCUUAGUCCUCCACAGGCCAGGCAAGGGGGCGAGGGGCAUUUCAUUCCAGCAAUCAUGUCGCAGCGUCCUUCUGCCUGCUUUGGCCACCUGUGGGAUUAACCCUGUCCCUGUGAUUGCCCUGCCUCAGGCUGCUGUGGGAAAAGCACGUAUUCCAACUGGAAAUCGAAGUCAAGAUUAUUCUGAUAUAGUUGGAUCAGGUGGUGGCGGUGGCGUUUGGCAGGCGUAUUAGUCAUGGCUUUUUAUUGAAAGUUAUAAAUACCAAUCUCAAACUGGCUUAAGCAAAAAGGAGGAUUUGUGGACUUACACAGGCAAACAAGGCGAUUGGGGAGUUGUGGCAGACACCCAGUUUCCUACCCGAUGUACAUUCUCUCCAUGUUCUCGGUGUGCCCAACUAAAAGCGCUCAGCUCUUGAGGCUCCCUUGCAGCUAGGGUAGUCACGUGACCCUUCUCUGAUGGAAGUAGACAUGCACAGGUUGGCCCAUCUGAGAAUCCUCACACUUAGCUGGCAUAUGCUUUUUUGUCCUUUUUGCCUGGAAUGUGGAUAUGACACCCAGAGAUGCAGGAAUCGUCCUGGAAGAUGAGAAGGAGAGUCAAGUGAUGAGUCAAGUCAAGUCAAAAUGGCAGGAGAGGGCUGGGUCUCUGCGGUCACCAUGGAACCUACAUACCAGAUCUCUCCUGCCAGCCUUUCAAUUAGAUGCCACCUGAGAAAAAUAAACUUCCCUUUGGGUCAGUCCUGGAGUUGGGCUCUUAUUACAUGCAGUUCAACCCAGGCCAGCUCUGAUUCUGUGCAUCUGGAGUCUAGGAUUUCAUAGUGUCAGGUUUCUCUAUCUCUCUAGUUCAUUCUCCCAGAAUCCUCAAUGGGGCAAGGGACAUGACACCAGCAGCUCUGGAAUGCACUGUGAAAGCUUCCGAUCCAGGGGAAAGAGGGAGCUAACCCCUCUGUUGCCGAAAGGGAAGAAAAAAAUACCCAGAGAAGAAAUGUGAUUGGUGUGGAGGAUACUCGUUAGGCCAAUGACCAUGGACAAGGGGUUGAAGUAAUAUGGCUGACCAGGUC